rnacentral:rRNA from 1 species
UUUUACAAUGAAGAGUUUGAUCCUGGCUCAGGAUGAACGCUAGCUACAGGCUUAACACAUGCAAGUCGAGGGGCAGCAUGAUUGAAGCUUGCUUCAAUUGAUGGCGACCGGCGCACGGGUGAGUAACGCGUAUCCAACCUUCCGUACACUCAGGGAUAGCCUUUCGAAAGAAAGAUUAAUACCUGAUGGUAUGAUGAGAUUGCAUGAUAGCAUCAUUAAAGAUUUAUCGGUGUACGAUGGGGAUGCGUUCCAUUAGGUAGUAGGCGGGGUAACGGCCCACCUAGCCGACGAUGGAUAGGGGUUCUGAGAGGAAGGUCCCCCAC